rnacentral:rRNA from 1 species
CGCGUAGGUGGUUUGUUAAGCGAGAUGUGAAAGCCCCGGGCUUAACCUGGGAACGGCAUUUCGAACUGGCAGGCUAGAGUGUGGUAGAGGGUAGUGGAAUUUCCUGUGUAGCGGUGAAAUGCGUAGAUAUAGGAAGGAACACCAGUGGCGAAGGCGGCUUUCUGGCCCGAAACUGACGCUGAGGAGCGAAAGCCAGGGGAGCGAACG